rnacentral:rRNA from 1 species
AGAGCGAACGCUGGCGGCAGGCCUAACACAUGCAAGUCGAGCGCCCGUAGCAAUACGGGAGCGGCAGACGGGAUAGUAACACGUGGGAACGCGCCCUUCGGUUCGGAAUAACUCAGGGAAACUUGAGCUAAUACCGGAUACGCCCUUACGGGGAAAGAUUUAUUGCCGAAGGAACGGCCCGCGUCCGAUUAGCUAGUUGGUGAGGUAAUGGCUCACCAAGGCGACGAUCGGUAGCUGGUCUGAGAGGAUGACCAGCAUCACUGGGACUGAGACACGGCCCAGACUCCUACGGGAGGCAGCAGUGGGGAAUAUUGGACAAUGGGCGCAAGCCUGAUCCAGCCAUGCCGCGUGGAUGAUGAAGGCCUUAGGGUUGUAAAGUCCGUUUUAACGGGGAAGAUAAUGACGGUACCCGUAGAAUAAGCCCCGGCUAACUUCGCGCCAGCAGCCGC